rnacentral:rRNA from 1 species
GACGAACGCUGGCGGCGUGCUUAACACAUGCAAGUCGAACGGAAAGGCCCUGCUUUUGUGGGGUGCUCGAGUGGCGAACGGGUGAGUAACACGUGAGUAACCUGCCCUUGACUUUGGGAUAACUUCAGGAAACUGGGGCUAAUACCGGAUAGGAGCUCCUGCUGCAUGGUGGGGGUUGGAAAGUUUCGGCGGUUGGGGAUGGACUCGCGGCUUAUCAGCUUGUUGGUGGGGUAGUGGCUUACCAAGGCUUUGACGGGUAGCCGGCCUGAGAGGGUGACCGGCCACGGGGGGACGGAGAACCGGCCCAGACUCCUGGGGGAGGCAGAGGGGGGGAAUAUGGCAAAGGGGGGGGAAGCGUGAUGCAGCAACCCCGGGGGGGGGAGGAGGCCCUUGGAUUUGAAACCCGUUUUCGCCGGUGACGAGGGGGGAGGGAGGGAAAGGGGAAAAGAAGCACCGGCAAACUACGUG